GAGUGAAGCGGGAAGAGCUCAAAUUUGUAAUCUGGCACCUUCGGUGUCCGAGUUGUAAUCUCGAGAAGUGUUUUCCGCGCCGGACCGCAUACAAGUCUGUUGGAAUACAGCGUCAUAGUGGUGAGAACCCCGUAACUGAUGCGGAUGCCCGGUGCUUUGUGAUACACUUUCGAAGAGUCGAGUUGUUUGGGAAUGCAGCUCAAAUUGGGUGGUAAAUUCCAUCUAAAGCUAAAUAUUGGCGAGAGACCGAUAGCGAACAAGUACCGUGAGGGAAAGAUGAAAAGCACUUUGGAAAGAGAGUUAACAGUACGUGAAAUUGUUGGAAGGGAAACGCUUGAAGUCAGACUUGCUAUUUGGAAUUCAGCCGCAAGGUGUACUUUUCAAUUCGCAGGCCAGCAUCAGUUUUGGGGGGUGGAAAAGGGUAGAGAGAAGGUAGCAAUUUCGGUUGUGUUAUAGCUCUUUGCUGGAUUCAUCCUUGGGGACUGAGGAACGCAGCACGCUUUUUGCAAGGCUUUCGAGCUUUUCGUGCUUAGGAUGCUGGUGGAAUGGCUUUAAACGACCCGUCUUG
rnacentral:rRNA from 1 species